rnacentral:antisense_RNA from 1 species
UUGACCGUGUGGUCCCAGGUGGUGUCGCUGCCCAGCAGCGCCUUGUCGCCGAAGAACUGGCCGUCGGCGAGGAUGUCGACCGCCGCGUCGUCGCCGUAGGCGCCCUCGGUGUAGCGGGUGACCUUGCCGUGCGCGAUCAGGUAGAUGCCGUCGGCGGCCCGACCGCCGGUGGUGAUCACCUCACCGGCCUCCACCGUCCGCUGCUGGAAGCGGCCCGCCAGCACGCCGAGCACCUCGUCGUCGGGGAAGGUGCGCAGCAGGCCGAUCUCGCGCAGCUCCGGCGGCACGACCGCCACGUCCGCGCCGGUGUUGGUGAACGACACGCGCCCGUCGCCCACGGUGUAGGUCAGGCGCCGGUUGACCCGGUAGGCGGCGCCGGGGGUCUCCACCCAGGGCAGCAGCCGCAGCAGCCACCGGGGGGAGAUCUCCUGCAUCUGCGGGACGGACUUGGUCGUCGUCGCCAGCUUGCGGGCCGCCGCGGUGCUGAGGGACUGCGG